rnacentral:lncRNA from 10 species
AGGCUUUCCAAGCUGUGAUGGGGCAGGAGCUUCUCCACUAGCUCGAGGGAGGGGGAACUUGGGCUCUGGGCGCCUGUUUUGGAGGUUGCAUCCCUUUGAGGGGCGCUACGGGUUGCAACUCACGCAGGAAAGAUUCCCCUCUCGGGCCUGUUUCCUCUUCUCUCAACCAGCGAUGCCAGGCUGAGGCUGUAGGUUCGAGAAUCACGUAGGUAAUGGGCCUGGCACAUAGUAGGCUCUCAAGAAAAGGUUGGAGCCUCUUGAGGAGUCUGCCUGUGAUGGAUGCGGAGCGCAGACCCAGCGCAGUGCGGCGAUUCGCCCAAGGUCACACAGCCGCCCCCCCCAAUUCGGACCCCGGGCGGCCUGACUCCGGGGGCCGGGGCUUGUCGGGAGCCAGCGUGGGGGCGAGCAGUGUUUGGAAGAGCGGCCGCGGCAGUGGGUGGGAAGGGGCUUCUAUUUUGGAGCGGGUGAGAGGAGCGGGACACGCGGAGGAGGUAAGGAAGGGGUAGGCCCUCUCCGGGAUCUCUGU